ACCACAACCUGAGGGUGACCGGAUGAUGAGUGUGGUUUUGACUUGCAUUUCCCUGAUCCUGGAGUGACUGCUCCCUGAAGAGAGUCCUGGUCCUAGGAAUCUGGGAUUCUACCUGAAGUCCCAAAGAUGAACAAAUGGUAGAGAGAGGCACCUGAGUGAGCCUGCUUCCUAAACGACUUCUCAGAACUGCCUGCAGCUGGGCUGCCUAACAGAAGCUCAAGUUCUGGGAUUCCACUCUUGAAGAAAAAUGAAUCUGCCCUUAACUUAGUGAGCCCUCAGCCUGUAGGUCAGGACAUGUAGUUCUUGCUACCCUGAAACUCACUAUGUACGACAGACUGGCCCCAACACACUGAGAUCUGCCUGGUUCUGUCUCCCUGGUGCUGAGAUCAAAUGUCGAGUCUAGAUCAAAGUUGUGGGCUCAGCCGAGAUGGGAGCAUUCCAGCCUUCCCAGGCACUCCCCCUCACUGUGAUGGACACCAGUGAAGGAACAUAGGAAGUAAAGUGUCAAUAACCUCCAACCUGAACCUUCAUGCCCACCUACCGUCCAAGACAGAGCUGUGCAUAUUGGAGUCAGCUCUUCACCUGUGAUAUCAGCAGGGUCCGGAAGGUUGCUGAGCUUCCAUCAGCAAUGAGACUUAACAGGCAACAAACCCAAGGAGCGAUGUUGGCUUUCUACUGCCCAUACCCACCUCUAGAAAGCAAACCAAGGGUGCGAGGUGCAGAACCUAGCCAAUUCUCUCCUCUCCCUCUCCUAAGUUCAGCAGCAGGGAGAGCUGACCUCCUGUUCUCACCUAGAAGCAGCAGAGCUGUGUGGGUGUGGGUCAGUCCCCUGCUUCCUGCCUCUCUGGACAAUGAAGUCUGCCAGGAGACUAAGUUUCAUUCCCUUUUGAAGGCAAUGGGUUUGCAAGAGUCAGGGCAUAUCUUUCCUCAGGAGAGGAUUUCCUCCUAAUAAAAUAAAGGUGUCAU
rnacentral:lncRNA from 1 species